rnacentral:tRNA from 1 species
GCGGAUAUGGCGGAAUUGGCAGACGCGCAUGGUUCAGGUCCAUGUGAACGCAAGUUCAUGCAGGUUCAACUCCUGUUAUCCGCACCA